rnacentral:rRNA from 1 species
GAGGAAUAUUGGUCAAUGGGAGAGAUCCUGAGCCAGCCAAGUCGCGUGAGGGAAGACGGUCCUAUGGGUUGUAAACCUCUUUUGUCGGAGAACAAAACCCGGGACGUGUCCCGGACUGCGUGUAUCCGAAGAAAAAGCAUCGGCUAACUCC